GACGAACGCUGGCGGCGUGCUUAACACAUGCAAGUCGAACGAAGAGCGACGGAAGCUUGCUUCCAUCAAUCUUAGUGGCGAACGGGUGAGUAACGCGUAAUCAACCUGCCCUUCAGAGGGGGACAACAGUUGGAAACGACUGCUAAUACCGCAUACGAUCUAAUCUCGGCAUCGAGGAUAGAUGAAAGGUGGCCUCUACAUGUAAGCUAUCACUGAAGGAGGGGAUUGCGUCUGAUUAGCUAGUUGGAGGGGUAACGGCCCACCAAGGCGAUGAUCAGUAGCCGGUCUGAGAGGAUGAACGGCCACAUUGGGACUGAGACACGGCCCAGACUCCUACGGGAGGCAGCAGUGGGGAAUCUUCCGCAAUGGACGAAAGUCUGACGGAGCAACGCCGCGUGAGUGAUGACGGCCUUCGGGUUGUAAAGCUCUGUUAAUCGGGACGAAAGGCCUUCUUGCGAACAGUUAGAAGGA
rnacentral:rRNA from 1 species